UACCGCCCGCCGCCUGCCUUACAAGGCUCGAAAGUAAAAAUAAAAAGAAUUACGAUGCGGGCCAGGCUUGCAAGGGGGAGAAGAGACUAGACUCCGCUCCUCUCUGCUCCUCUCCAAAGACCGAGUCGGGGCCGGACUCCAAGGGCCGCCGACCCCGCACCCCCUCCGGGAGGAAAGGCACAAAGACACCACAGGCUCCUGCUCAGGUGGUCGCCCCAGGUGUCAUCUGCGGGCACCUGUCUGCCAAGACAGGGAGGGUGGCCAGUACGGAGCAAGAGGCCCGUCCUAAAGGCCACGCGCCAGGAGCCUCUCCAGUGGGCUGUGGUCAACACAAGACUUGUGCGCCCCAGCGAGACAAAUCUAACAUCCUUCACAUUUUGAGCUCUGGACAAUUCGCUGCGUCGUCCAGCCACCACGCCAAGUCUUUAGGGGCCUCCAAAGACUGGCCACCCCCUGCUGGAGCCGCACCAAGCAGCAGCUGCCUUAGGAGCAGAUGGAAGGAGAGUCCAGCAGGACGCCCUCCUGGUGACACAAAUGAACGUGACUGCACACCACUCCCAGUCCGCCCCACCCCUCCUGGGACCCACCAGAAUCAAUGGACAGGCCCUUUGGAGUUAUCUGAAAUCUGCAGAAGAGCAGUGUGAAGAAUACAAAAUGAGGGGCUGUAAGCUGAAGGUUACUGCACAUGGAACUUAUCACUUAAGCUUUCCAUGCAAGCUGCUAGCCUCCAACAUCUGAACCAAAUGAACAAAACUUAAAGACAAGCAAGCGUGGGGCCAAGAGAAGCCCCAAGCAGAGAGUAGGGUGUGGGGAGUGCGGCAGAGGUGUGAGGUGUUAGCCUGAAGAGGAAGUGGCGGACCAACCCAGCCUGCUGUGGAGAGCAGGGUUGGCUUCCUCCGCUCACUUAUGACCACUCACUGCUGCCUGUGCCAAGUUCAAAGACCUUCUGACGGUCAGCACGACCACCUUCAUCUUCAGUCUUCCCCUAGUAAUUCAUAUUCUCAGGGAAACAGUCCAAUUGGCUUAGCCUAAGUCAGAUGACCUCUCCCUUCAGCCCACGCCUCCCAACAGCUAAGGCAAGGGGCAGGUGGCACCAUCCAGCACAACAGGCCUGGGAACAGAAGGGAGGGGAGGUGACUUUGGAAGGAGGAGAUCUAAUACAGAUGUGUUUGGCUGGUGUUUGGCUUGUGGAAAUGGGGAAGGCAGAUUCUGGAUCUGAGUUGGGAAGCCACCUUUAAUGGAUUAGAGUCUCCCGGGAAGGGUCCCAGACAUGUGCAUUUGAAGAAAGCACCACAACACGAAACUGCUAUUCCACGUAGGAGAAAAGAAUGAACACAAACAGAUUUAUCAAAUAUGACUCGAUUGUGUUCAAAGCUGUGCUGGUUCAUUGAGCAAAUGUUUACCAAGUGCCCACCAAGUGCAUGGUGCUGCGUUGGUGCCAGAGAUACCCAGUUUUUGUUCCCAUGGAGCAUGCAUAUAAAUGGAUAAGUAGAAACACAUAUCACAAAACUCCUUAAAUGCUGAGUGCACGGUUUAUAUGUACUAAUUCAGGGGGGAAAGGAACUAGGAAUAUUUUUUAGUCAAGAAGUUGCACUGUCAGAAAUAUGCAAGAAAGAACAAACGAAUGAAAGUAGAAGGGCUUGCAACUAGCAAAAAAAACAUGUUCCAGAGGCCUUGUACACUCACAGACAACAAAACUAUUAUAAAGGUUCAACUUGCGGGCCUCCCUGGUGAUGCAAGGGGUUGAGAAGCAACCUAUGAAGCUAUCAGUAGCCAGGGAGCUGACCCACAAGGCGCAGCAGACCUCUCCUGACUCUCCCACUGCUCCCCUCAGCAGUGUAUUUUCAGUCAGUCUGCCUGUUCUGAUCCCUGCUCUGUCUCUGGUGAAUCCGCUCACUUCCACACCACUGGCCUGUACCCCAGUUCUUGUGUGCAUAAAUAAAUAAAUCUUUAAAAAUAAAUUAAUUAAUUAAGGCUCAAUUUGCUAAGUGACUAGAACUUAAAUGUUCCCAACACAGGCAGAAAUGAUCAUUAUGAGCCUGAGGUGUUAGCGAAAGCCACAGAAGCCACGGUACUGCACUACACAUGUAUCAAAUCAAUAUAUUGUGCACCUAAAAUAUAUUGUGCACCUAUAUCAACUCAAUAUAUUGUGCACCUACAUCUCAAAAAAGGAGGGGUGGGAUCAUGGAUCCAAGAUGAGUUUGGGGAGAGGAAAGGAGAAAAUGGAAGAUGAAAAGCAGGCAGAACCACCCAGAAAGCAUUGCAAUCAUCCAUCUAAAAGAAAA